UACGUAGGGUGCAAGCGUUAAUCGGAAUUACUGGGCGUAAAGCGUGCGCAGGCGGUUUUGUAAGUCAGAUGUGAAAUCCCCGGGCUCAACCUGGGAACUGCAUCUGUGACUGCAUAGCUAGAGUACGGUAGAGGGGGAUGGAAUUCCGCGUGUAGCAGUGAGAUGCGUAGAUAUGCGGAGGAACACCGAUGGCGAAGGCAAUCCCCUGGACCUGUACUGACGCUCAUGCACGAAAGCGUGGGGAGCAAACAGG
rnacentral:rRNA from 1 species